rnacentral:rRNA from 1 species
UACGUAGGGUGCGAGCGUUAAUCGGAAUUACUGGGCGUAAAGCGUGCGCAGGCGGUUUUGUAAGUCAGAUGUGAAAUCCCCGGGCUUAACCUGGGAAUGGCGUUUGAAACUACGGAGCUGGAGUGUGGCAGAGGGAGGUAGAAUUCCACGUGUAGCGGUGAAAUGCGUAGAUAUGUGGAGGAAUACCGAUGGCGAAGGCAGCCUCCUGGGCCAACACUGACGCUCAUGCACGAAAGCGUGGGGAGCAAACAGG